GGGCCCGCACAAGCAGUGGAGCGUGUGGUUUAAUUCGACGCAACGCGCAGAACCUUACCAGGGCUUGACAUCAUAGUGCAAAGUCUGGAAACAGACUCCCUGUAGCAAUACAGCGCUAUGACAGGUGUUGCAUGGUUGUCGUCAGCUCGUGUCGUGAGAUGUUGGGUUAAGUCCCGCAACGAGCGCAACCCCUAUUUGGUGUUGCCACCGGGUAGAGCCGGGCACUCACCAGAGACUGCCGGAGACGAUCCGGAGGAAGGUGGGGAUGACGUCAAAUCAUCAUGGCCCUUAUGCCCUGGGCCACACACGCGCUACAAUGGCCGGUACAACGGGCAGCCAAGGCGCAAGCCGGAGCGAAUCCUAAAAAGCCGGUCCCAGUUGGGAUUGGGGGCUGAAACUCGUCCCCAUGAACAUGGAAUUGCUAGUAAUCGCGGAUCAGCCACGCCGCGGUGAAUACGUUCCCGGGCCUU
rnacentral:rRNA from 1 species